ACAACGAAGAGUUUGAUCCUGGCUCAGGAUGAACGCUAGCGACAGGCCUAACACAUGCAAGUCGAGGGGCAGCGCGAUGGUAGCAAUACCGUUGGCGGCGACCGGCGCACGGGUGCGUAACAGGUGUGCAAUCUGUCCAUA
rnacentral:rRNA from 1 species